rnacentral:miRNA from 1 species
CCCGGAAGUUCUUGAGUAGGA